rfam:Gossypium hirsutum cultivar TM-1 unplaced genomic scaffold scaffold2162.1, whole genome shotgun sequence
UGUUAAAAAUUUCAUUCAAUUCUAUAGUUAAAAAUUUGUGUGCCUGGCAAAAUAACUAGACAUGUACCACAUUCUGACGUACAUGGACUGGUUUUUAUCAAUAGAAAUGGAUGAAAUUUUCAACA